GCCUGGUGUGGUGGUGCACACCUGUAAUCCAAGUGCCUCCAGAGGCUGAGACAGGAGGAUCGUAAGUUCAAGGCCAGCCUCAGCCACCUAGCAAGGCCCUAAGCAACUUAGGGAGACCCUGUCUCAA
rnacentral:sRNA from 1 species